CAGCAGCCGCGGGAAUACGGAGGGUGCAAGCGUUAUUCGGAAUUACUGGGCGUAAAGCGCACGCAGGCGGUUGCCCAAGUCAGAUGUGAAAGCCCCGGGCUUAACCUGGGAACUGCAUUUGAAACUGGGCGACUAGAGUAUGAAAGAGGAAAGCGGAAUUUCCAGUGUAGCAGUGAAAUGCGUAGAUAUUGGAAGGAACACCGAUGGCGAAGGCAGCUUUCUGGGUCGAUACUGACGCUCAUGUGCGAAAGCGUGGGGAGCAAACAGGAUUAGAUACCCCCGUAGUCCCUGUCUCUUAUAC
rnacentral:rRNA from 1 species